UCUAGCCAGCCAGCCCCCUCUUCUCUCUGACUGGAGCCCUGUGCACCUGGGACAGAGACCUCAACCCUCCUUGGCCUCUGGGGGGUGGGCCAGACUGACGGCGGGGUUGCUGUACCCCUGACCUUUGCCCCCACAGCUCGGAAUACCUGGCCAUCACCUCAGAAAGCAAAGAGAACUGUACGGGCGUCCAGGUGGCCGAAUAGCCCCGGCCCUGGGCUCCGCCUCAAGGAAGAGCCAGCCCUAACAGGGAACAUCCGGGCACAGCCUGCCCCCAAUGGGGGUUGGCCAUUCCUGGGCCUCCAUAAGCCUCAAAGUCCUGCCAACGGAGCCUCCAGGGUGGGAGGGGGCAGGGGGCUUGGCUCACACCCCUAAUCCAGCCUUCUUCCUCCUGCCCCAUCACCCGCCCGCGCCGUGCAUGAUGGGUAAAGCAAUACUGCCGCUGCCCCCAUGCUUCUGCUGCCUGUUUGGGAGGGGGCGGUGAGGUGGGGGCAGCGGCUCCGCACCCCUCUUUCUUGCUGAUUUGCACACACUGGCCGCUUUGGACAUGCACUACUGGGGCCCAGCCCCUUCCUUCCCCCUCCCCGCCCGGUGAGGGUUAUAAUGGGCUGGAACAGCUUGGGGCAGGGGGUUCUGAGACCCACUCCGACCCCCAGCAACAUUUCCCCUCCUGCUUCCUCUGGCUGGACCUGGGGUCUCCUCUCCCUGUGAUGCACUCUCACCCCAGCCCAACCCGCCCUCUCUCACCAGCCUUGGAUUGUGGCCACUUUGAAAGGGGCCCAUUCAGCCUCGUCUCUCUUUACACAAGUAGUUUUGUUCAUGAAAUAAAGAUUCUUGGACUUGCUUCA